rnacentral:rRNA from 1 species
CCUACGGGGGGCAGCAGUGGGGAAUAUUGGACAAUGGGGGGAACCCUGAUCCAGCCAUGCCGCGUGUGUGAAGAAGGCCCUCGGGUUGUAAAGCACUUUCAGUGAGGAAGAACGCCUGGUGGUUAAUACCCAUCAGGAAAGACAUCACUCACAGAAGAAGCACCGGCUAACUCCGUGCCAGCAGCCGCGGUAAUACGGAGGGUGCGAGCGUUAAUCGGAAUUACUGGGCGUAAAGCGCGCGUAGGUGGCUUGAUAAGCCGGUUGUGAAAGCCCCGGGCUCAACCUUGGAACGGCAUCCGGAACUGUCAAGCUAGAGUACAGGAGAGGAAGGUAGAAUUCCCGGUGUAGCGGUGAAAUGCGUAGAGAUCGGGAGGAAUACCAGUGGCGAAGGCGGCCUUCUGGACUGACACUGACACUGAGGUGCGAAAGCGUGGGUAGCAAACGGGAUUAGAUACCCUUGUAGUC